rnacentral:rRNA from 1 species
AGCGUGGAGACAGGUGGUGCAUGGCUGUCGUCAGCUCGUGUCGUGAGAUGUUGGGUUAAGUCCCGCAACGAGCGCAACCCUCACCCCUUGUUGCCACCAGGUCAGGCUGGGCACUCUAGGGGAACUGCCCCGGUCAACGGGGAGGAAGGUGGGGAUGACGUCAAGUCAUCAUGCCCCUUACGUCCUGGGCUGCACACGUGCUACAAUGGCCGGUACAAAGGGAUGCAAGACUGCGAGGUGGAGCUAAACCCAAAAAGCCGGCCUAAGUUCAGAUUGGAGUCUGCAACUCGACUCCAUGAAGGAGGAAUCGCUAGUAAUCGCGCAUCAGCACGGCGCGGUGAAUACGUUCCCGGGCCUUGUACACACCGCCCGUCACACCACGAAAGCCAGCUGUACUCGAAGUCGCUGAG